GACGAACGCUGGCGGCGUGCUUAACACAUGCAAGUCGAACGGAAAGGCCUCUUUCGGGGGGUACUCGAGUGGCGAACGGGUGAGUAACACGUGAGUAACCUGCCCUUGACUUUGGGAUAACUUCAGGAAACUGGGGCUACUACCGGAUAGGAGCUCCUGCUGCAUGGUGGGGGUUGGAAAGUUUCGGCGGUUGGGGAUGGACUCGCGGCUUAUCAGCUUGUUGGUGGGGUAGUGGCUUACCAAGGCUUUGACGGGUAGCCGGCCUGAGAGGGUGACCGGCCACAUUGGGACUGAGAUACGGCCCAGACUCCUACGGGAGGCAGCAGUGGGGAAUAUUGCACAAUGGGUGGAAGCCUGAUGCAGCAACGCCGUGUGCGGGAUGACGGCCUUCGGGUUGUAAACCGCUUUCGCUCAUGACGAAGCUUUGUGUGACGGUAGUGGGUAAAGAAGCACCGGCUAACUACGU
rnacentral:rRNA from 1 species